CUGGUCUCCCGCAUCGCGGGCGGAUUCUUUACCAUCUGAGCUACCGUCCCAGCCUGUUCCAGCCCAUCCCCCUUCUGGACUGUGAAGUGGAUUCUCUGCCCCUUCAAGUUCUGACCCUGUUUUUCCCGCUUAAUACCCGACUCAGGACAAAUCAGAAGCUCCCCAUGGCUUCCAACCCCGAUCUCUCCAGGCAAACCAGGCUCCACCCAGGGCCUCGGGGCCCUGGGCUCCACCUGGCGGCCUGGCCCGCUCCCUCCGGUCCUGGGCCCUGUAAACACGCACUCCUCCUGCUUCGGAAGAUUCAGGUCAAGCCACAUCUCCUUAUCCAGGACCCUCCCUGCUCUUGGCUGCAAAGGUGGCUCAAAGGCCCCACACUCGCUCCCCCAACCGCUGCAAUCUGGAAGAAAUUACUCUUUCCAAACAGCCAGACUUCCCCACUUGCAGGAAAUUCCAGGCUGGCAGGGGAGGGGCCGGGCUGGGGGGCCGCCCAGUCCAUCCAAUCCCCCACCCCCUCCGCGGUCCUUCCCCGCGCACAUCCAGUCCCGGCCACUUCCCGCCCCCACACUCAGCCUGGCGGGGCCUCCGCUUUCCCGCCGCGGCUUCUUAGUCCUUAAAUCCUAGAGGCCAACUUUUUUUUGGGGGGUGGGGGGCAGGGGGGAAUAAGGGAGGCCUGGGAGGGGCCUACUGCCUUAACCCUCUCGGCCCCAGACAGGCCGAGCUGGACUGGGCGGGGAUUCUGCGCCCCUCUGGGCUCCCAUCAUGGCCCCCGAGAGGGGCUGACGCUUCCGUUCCCGGUGCAGGUGAGAUCCCGCCCGGAGGAAGGCGGAGGGAGGCGCAGGCCUGGGACCAGGAGGCGGAGGCGGGCCCCGAACCGAGAGGAGCGGGUCCCGGGCGGUGCAGGAGCCUGAGAGCGCGC